CUCCCACUAUAAUUAACAGGUACCAACUGUAUCUUUCGAAGAACUAAUCACGCAUCGUCAUAUUCCCCCGCUGUUUCAGGAAUAUAUACCAACCACAUUGAUUCCAAUGAUCAGUGUGAGCGAGAGAGUGUUCACGAGACUCUCCCUUCGGCUAUUUUGCUGCUAAGGACACCAAGUACCAAUACCAGGAGAAGCACAAGCAUACGAGAGAGCGUAGACCAUGGCAAGAAACUGGCGAAGACAUGGCAGCUUCACCAAGUAGCAGAAAUGUGCGUUCUCAACAAAACCAAACGGCCCAGCAACUUGAAAAUGCAACCAGGGAGUUGUAAUAUACGUACAGUAUGGAUAAAAU